GGAUAAUGGGAACCUCAGUCGUGGGUACUACAACACUGACUCUCCUGGACGUUUGGAUUGGUCUCCUGAAUGGUUAGAUGUCUCUCCUGGUCGCCAAUGUCUGGUUUGCAAUUGAUUGAACCGGCCAGCUUCCAAAUAAGGCAAGUGCAGAACUGGUUUGUCCGGUUUUGAGAAAUUGAUCUUAACUCCAUAUUUCCGUGGACUUUUAUUCCCAUUCUUGGCUUGUUGGAAAGCUA
rnacentral:lncRNA from 1 species